rnacentral:rRNA from 1 species
AGGAUGAACGCUGGCGGUCUGCUUAACACAUGCAAGUCGAACGGAGUACCUCGGUACUUAGUGGCGGACGGGUGAGUAACGCGUGAGAAUCUGCCCUUAGGUCGGGGACAACCAUUGGAAACGAUGGCUAAUACCGGAUAAGCCGAGAGGUAAAAGAUUAAUUGCCUAGGGAAGAGCUCGCGUCUGAUUAGCUAGUUGGUGAGGUAAAGGCUCACCAAGGCAUCGAUCAGUAGCUGGUCUGAGAGGAUGAUCAGCCACACUGGGACUGAGACACGGUCCAGACUCCUACGGGAGGCAGCAGUGGGGAAUAUUGGACAAUGGGCGCAAGCCUGAUCCAGCCAUGCCGCGUGUGUGAAGAAGGCCCUCGGGUUGUAAAGCACUUUUAUCAGGAACGAAAUACCGCGGGUUAAUAACCUACGGGGCUGACGGUACCUGAGGAAUAAGCACCGGCUAACUUCGUGCCAGCAGCCG